AAUGCCCGAUCUGAAGACAAGGUGAUCAUUUUUGAAUUGUCCUUUUUUCUGAAUUAUGUAACUUUGGAUGUAUUGUAAGUUCUAGGAAGCACCGUCUCAACUGACACUGAAGGGGGAAAGAGAAACUUGACCUGGUCAUGAAUUCUGUCCCUUCCAAAUCAACAUAACCACUGUGACUUAAUGCAGCAAAGAAAGCAGCGGAGAAAUUUGGAUAUUGAUUAAUGUGCAGUUUAAUGAUUCAUUAACAAUGGUCCAUAUUGCAGUUCGCACGUUUUUGGUUUGGGUACAAGAUAAGGCAGGGGUGUAUCUGCCCCUCCGUACAUUUAUUUCUGUCAAUUAUUCCCGUGCCAAACAUACAAUUAAAAUUUUAUCAAGAUUUUCUCCAGAUAAAAGAUGAAUUUUUUUUUAUAUUUGAUAGCACCAUCCAUGCAACUACAUAUUGUGAAUUUCUCACACAAGAGAAUUAAUUUUUAGCCAGAAUUAAUAUAUUUUAUUUAGGAGACAAAAGAUACACAUUACUUUAAAGUUUUAAUUCAAAAUAAAUAUUAGAUAAAAAUUAACAUAAGAAACCAAGAAUUGAUUUUCAGAAUGUUUUAAGAUACCUUUAAUUGUAUAGCAACUUUUAAGUGUUUAUUUUUGCAAAAUAAAACAUAUGUUAGUUGCUCCAAUCUUUGAUAAAGUACACAAAUUCUGACUGUCUCUUAAAUGUGCCACGUAAAAUCCUAUUGUUCGCUGAUACAAAUUAGUGACAAAUUGGCUGAGAGCAAACGGCUUAACACUUGAAAAAAAGAUUUCUCAUUUUUUUUUCUCAAAAAUUUAAAAUCAAUAAAAUGAUUUUCUCUCAUGCA